ensembl:lncRNA novel transcript
GCUCCCUCUGCAUCACAGAGGAGACAAGAACUACAUUUCCACAAAUUCCCAUUAGGAGGCACUUCGGUUGAGCUAUGAUUCCUUAUGGAUUUCACUGGCCCUGUCUUGUCUGCUCAUUUACCUGCUUAUGUCUUGCCCACACUUUUAGGAGAACUUAAGAGACUUUCCUAAGGAAGUCAAAGGAAAAGAAAGAAAGUUUCAGAUUACCUGAGGAGAGAAGAUGAUCAAAAUGGAAUGGAAAGGAUCAAAUAAAGAAGAGAGAUAUUUAAUCUAUAUAUUUAAUUAUAUAUACUUAUUUAUGAUAUUGUUCAUUGUUUUAUUUUACCACUUCACUAUUCUGCA